rnacentral:rRNA from 1 species
AUUCCAGCUCCAAUAGCGUAUAUUUAAGUUGUUGCGGUUAAAAAGCUCGUAGUUGGAUUUCGGGCGUGGAGGUUCGGUCCGCCGUUUCGGUGUGCACUGUCUUUCUGCGUCUUUCUGUCGGGGACGCGCUUCUGGCCUUAAUUGGCUGGGACGUGGAUUCGACGAGGUUACUUUGAAAAAAUUAGAGUGUUCAAAGCAAGCUAAAGCUCUGAAUACAUUAGCAUGGAAUAACGCGAGAGGACUCGGUCCUUAUUUUGUUGGUCUUCAAGGAUGGAGUAAUGAUUAAGAGGGACAGUGGGGGGCAUUCGUAUUUCAUUGCUAGAGGUGAAAUUCUUGGAUUUAUGAAAGACGAACUUCUGCGAAAGCAUUUGCCAAGGAUGUUUUCAUUA